rnacentral:rRNA from 1 species
GACGAACGCUGGCGGCGUGCCUAAUACAUGCAAGUCGAACGCACGAAGUUGAAGAGCUUGCUCUUUAACCAAGUGAGUGGCGGACGGGUGAGUAACACGUGGGUAACCUGCCCAUUAGAGGGGGAUAACAUUCGGAAACGGAUGCUAAUACCGCAUAGUUUCAGGGAUCGCAUGAUUCUUGAAGGAAAGGUGGCUCCGGCUACCACUAAUGGAUGGACCCGCGGCGUAUUAGCUAGUUGGUGAGGUAAUGGCUCACCAAGGCAAUGAUACGUAGCCGACCUGAGAGGGUGAUCGGCCACACUGGGACUGAGACACGGCCCAGACUCCUACGGGAGGCAGCAGUAGGGAAUCUUCCGCAAUGGACGAAAGUCUGACGGAGCAACGCCGCGUGAGUGAAGAAGGUUUUCGGAUCGUAAAACUCUGUUGUUAAAGAAGAACAAGGAUGAGAGUAACUGCUCACCCCCUGACGGUAUUUAACCAGAAAGCCACGGCUAACUACGUGCCAGCAGCCGCGGUAAUACGUAGGUGGCAAGCGUUGUCCGGAUUUAUUGGGCGUAAAGCGAGCGCAGGCGGUUCUUUAAGUCUGAUGUGAAAGCCCCCGGCUCAACCGGGGAGGGUCAUUGGAAACUGGAGAACUUGAGUGCAGAAGAGGAGAGUGGAAUUCCACGUGUAGCGGUGAAAUGCGUAGAUAUGUGGAGGAACACCAGUGGCGAAGGCGACUUUCUGGUCUGUAACUGACGCUGAUGUGCGAAAGCGUGGGGAUCAAACAGG